rnacentral:lncRNA from 1 species
ACUCUGAAAAUUGGAGUCUGGCAAUGUAGAAAUUAAGUUGGAGUGGAGGAAAUGUGCUGGAUACAAAAGGGUAUUAAAAAGAAUUCUACUGUUUAAAUUCUCUUCAUCACUUCCAGGAAAAAGAAAUGAGAGCUAAAUGUCAGAUAUGCUUAAACACAAUAUAUGGAGACCUUGGUGUGAUGCAAGCAGAGAGGGUAAAGGAAGAUUACAGGAAGAGAGUAAAGUAAUUCUCCAGUUGACCUGUGACUGGACUCUUGACAGUCUGAAGAGUGAACCUUGAAUUGGGGGUGGAAAAAAAUGGCCAUCAAAGUUUUCCUUCUGCCUCACUUUCUAUAUAAAGCCCGUGUUUUUCCUAACAAAAUUAAAUACUAAAGAUUUAAGUAGCAAGUAGGAGGUAAGUGCUAUUUUUAGACUCCCCAUUUAUCCAUCCAGCUCACCAGUUCAUCUUCAAAGCUGAAUGAUCCUUCAGUUCUGCAGAAAAUUAAUCCCAGAAGUGGCAGACAGCAGGGCUCGGGUGUAGAUCAGAUGGAAGAAUGGUGUCUAGCCUGCACAAGCCUCUGGAUUUGAGUUCCAGUGCAGUCUAAACCGUGCAUGUUGAUGUAUACCAGUCCCAGCAAUUUGGGGAUGGAGACAAGAUCAGAAAGUUAAAGAUCAUCCAUGAAUUUGGCUACAGAGUGAGUUUGAGACCAGUCUUGACUCCUUGAGACCUUGUGUCAACAACAAGAACAACAACAACAAAACCAAAAUAGGGAGGCAACAGGAUAAAGGAUAAUUUAGUUUGUGCACGUUGCAUAGAUAUGCAUCAUAACUGGUUGAUGAGAAAGUAUAAGAGGAGAAUUGACAGAGCCCAGCCAUUGGGGGUGGGGGGUGGGGUUGAGCAAAUGAGGCAUAGCCAUCCAGAAGCCGUCACCUAGUGGGAUGGCCCAGACAGACAGAGGCAUAUCAUCUGACUUUCUUACUGGGUGGUGCCCAGGCUUGAGAGAGAUUAAUUUAAAAACUACGAUAGGUUAAUAACAUUACUUCUCACUGCCCUGUAUGCUAAGUUUGGGACUGAUUCACCCUGUAGAUGGUUGUGAAAAAUUGGCAGGUGUCUGUCAGGGUGGUAAUGUUUGGCUGGUUUGUCUUGAUAUAGAGUCAUAACCAUUUUAUGAUCCCAUGGCGUGGUAUGAUCCCAUGGCGUGGUGGCGGACUGCCCCACAGCUCAGCUGUGUGUCUUAACUCUUGAUUGCAUUACUUCUGUCUGCGUUUCCUCUUCUGUCCUUUGAUUCACUGAGUAUUCUCAGUGUUUCCAUCUCAAACUUUGCUCGAGUUGCUCUAUCUGGAAGGCUGAGUCAGGAACUCAUCUCACCCCUUCUUUUCAAACAUAGGUGGGUGGAUUCCAUUUUGAGACCCACUUCCUGCUUAUAUUCUCAAAACCUUUAUUAAUUUCGUGGAUCAUGUUCCUUUUAGUGUUAACUGGGAAGCAGUUAAGUGACAAGAACUUGGGAGUUGGGCAUAUUCGUGCUGCAUUUCCUACCCCCAUUCUUGAUUCCCACAACUAUUUUGCAAGACAUUUCUUUGUAAGU